rnacentral:rRNA from 1 species
CCUACGGGUGGCAGCAGUGAGGAAUAUUGGUCAAUGGACGCAGGGCUGAACCAGCCAAGUCGCGUGAGGGAUGACGGUCCUAUGGAUUGUAAACCUCUUUUGUCAGGGAACAAAAGGGGCCACGUGUGCCGUUUUUCGAGUGCCUGAAGAAAAGCAUCGGCCACCUCCGUGCCAGCAGCCGCGGUAGUAAGGAGGAUGGGAGCGUUAUCCGGUUUUAUUGGGUUAAAAGGGGGCGCAGGCGGAAUGGAAAGUCAGCGGUAAAAUUUCGGGGGUCAACCCCGUCGUGCCGUUGAAACUGGCGUCCUUGAGUGAGCGAGAAGUAGGCGGAAUGCGUGGUGUAGCGGUGAAAUGCAUAGAUAUCACGCAGAACUCCGAUUGCGAAGGCAGCAUACCGGCGCUCAACUGACGCUCAUGCACGAAAGCGUGGGUAUCGAACAGGAUUAGAUACCCCGGUAGUC